rnacentral:rRNA from 1 species
AGCAGCCACCUUUUAAAAAGCGUCAAAGCUUAACCUAAUUCCUCUAAAAUACCAUUAACCUUAAUGAACCCCUAAUCUAUAAUGAAUGACCCCAUAUAAAUAUGGAAGACACCAUGCUAGGAUAAGUAACAAGAAUUAAUAAUUCUCCAAAAUGCAAACAUACACCAGCAUGGAUAAACCACUGGUAAUUACCGAAUCUGAACUUACUGCAACAACACUUACAAGAAAACCAUGCAGUAUUUGCUCGUUAACCUAACACUAGUGCAUUUCAGGAAAGAUUUAAAAAAAGAGAAGGAAUUCGGCAAAUGAAAGCCCCGCCUGUUUACCAAAAACAUCGCCUCUUGAUUUAUGAUAAGAGGUCCAGCCUGCCCAGUGAAUUUUUAACGGCCGCGGUAUCCUAACCGCGCGAAGGUAGCAUAAUCACUUGUUCUUUAAAUGGGGACUCGUAUCAACGGCAUCACGAGGGUUUUACUGUCUCCUCUUUUUGAUCAGUGAAAUUGAUCUUCCCGUGAAGAAGCGGGAAUACUCAUAUAAGACGAGAAGACCCCAUGGAGCUUAAAACCAAAUGGUAACUUAACCACAUAUUUCCUUAUAACUUUAAGCCUAUACUAUGAGGUUUUUGGUUGGGGUGACCGCGGAGUAAAACAUAUCCUCCACGACGGAAAGACUACAAUCUUUAUUUAAGAACCACAGUUCUAAAAAUUAGCAUACUAACGUUUACUGACCCGAUAAUCGAUCAACGGAACAAGUUACCCUGGGGAUAACAGCGCAAUCUACUUCAAGAGCCCAUAUCGACGAGUAGGCUUACGACCUCGAUGUUGGAUCAGGGUAUCCCAGUGGUGCAGCCAUUACUGAAGGUUCGUUUGUUCAACGAUUAAAACCCUACGUGAUCU